ACUAGUUCGGUGCGGGCGGAGAAAAUCCGUACCAAAUCGAGUUAAACUCCGAAUACCUGUAGCGUCAUUAUCUGGCAGUGAGAGUGCGAGAGAUAAGUUCCGUACUCAAGAGGGAAACAGCCCAGACUACCGACUAAGGUCCCAAAAUUCAUGCUAAGUGAUUAAGGAGGUGGAGUUGCAUAGACAACUAGGAUGUUGGCUUAGAAGCAGCCACCAUUCAAAGAAAGCGUAAUAGCUCACUAGUCAAGCGACUCUGCGCCGAAAACGUAUGGGGCUAAGCAUGAUACCGAAAUCGUAGGAUCAGAGUAAUCUGAUCGGUAGGGGAGCGUUCUGUUGUAGGGCGAAGUGCGACCGGAAGGACGCAUGGACGAAGCAGAAGUGAGACUGUCGGCUUAAGUAGCGAAAACAUUGGUGAGAAUCCAAUGCACCGAAAGACUAAGGGUUCCACGCAAGGUUCGUCCACGUGGGGUUAGCCGGGAGCUAAGAUGAGGCCGAGAGGCGUAAUCGAUGCACAACGGG
rnacentral:rRNA from 1 species